CAACAACUGAAAGGAGGUGAUCCAGUGUCUCAUUGUUCGGUGGCUUCCCUUGCCAUGACCUGGAUCGCCGGCGCGUCCGCGGCGGCGUGAGACCCCAGUCCGGCAACGGACCACGACAAUGCGAAGGCCUCGGCGGAAACGCCGGGGCCUU
rnacentral:sRNA from 1 species